rnacentral:rRNA from 1 species
AGCAGCCGCGGUAAUUCCAGCUCCAAUAGCGUAUAUUAAAGUUGUUGCAGUUAAAAAGCUCGUAGUUGAAUUUCGGGAUCAAUUUAUUGGUCGUGCUAUUGUACGUACUGGUAUUAUUGAUUCCUACCUUCUGACGAACCAUGAUGUCAUUAAUUUGGUGUCAUGGGGAAUCAGGACUGUUACUUUGAAAAAAUUAGAGUGUUUAAAGCAGGCUCACGCUUGAAUACAUUAGCAUGGAAUAACGAAAUAGGACGUUUGAUUCUAUUUUGUUGGUUUCUAGGAUCGACGUAAUGAUUAAUAGGGAUAGUUGGGGGCAUUAGUAUUCAAUUGUCAGAGGUGAAAUUCUUGGAUUUAUUGAAGACUAACUACUGCGAAAGCAUUUGCCAAGGAUGUUUUCAUUAAUCAAGAACGAAAGUUAGGGGAUCGAAGACGAUCAGAUACCGUCGUAGU